rnacentral:lncRNA from 1 species
GAAAUUAUUGCUCCUGGGGACCACCUUAACCAUUGGCCACAAAAACUAGAGUUGACGAGUGAAGACUUGUAUUUUUACUUACUUCCGAUCUCUGAUGUUGGAAUUCCUGAUAACACAAACCAUGGCUGAAUCAUUUCUCUUCAGCAUCGCUGAGUCUCUCAUAACAAAGCUUGCUUCUCAUGCUUUCCAAGAAGCUUCUCGGGUGGUGGGUUUGUACGACCAUCUCCGAGACCUUAAAAAGACUCUCUCAUAUGUCAAGGAAGUGCUGUUAGAUGCUGAUCAAGAGCAAAAGCAGGAGCAUAACCAUGAGCUUCGGGAAUGGCUGAGGCAGCUCAAAGGUGUCUUCUAUGAUGCCGAAGAUUGAUGUGCUCGAUGAAUUUGAGUGCCAAACACUGUGAAAGCAAGUGCUCAAAGCUCAUGGUACCAUCAAAGACGAGGUAAGCCACUUCUUCUCAAGUUCUAAUCCACUUGUUUUUCGUUCCAAGAUGGCUCAACAAAUCAAAGAUGUCAGCAAGCGGCUAGACAAGGUUGCAGCUGAUAGGCAUAAGUUUGGGGGGCACUUGGUCUCCUUGCAUCACCUAGAAAGAAUGAGACACCGGAAGAUGUUGUCAAACAGUAUCUGGAUGAAUUACUGUCAAGAUCUUUCCUUCAAGAUUUUGUCAUUUCGGGCACUAUUUGUAAAUUUAAAAUUCAUAAUUUGGUGCAUGAUCUUGCUUUGUUUGUUGCAAAAGAUGAGUGCCUACUUAUAAAUUCCCACAUUCAAAAUAUUAUUGUGAAUAUUCGGCAUCUGUCUUUUGCUGAAUACAAUUUUAUAGGAAAUUCAUUCUCCUCAAAAUGGGUAGCUGUGAGAACCAUAAUGUUUCCAAAUGGUGUAGAAGGAGGCAGCGUUGAAUCUUUGCUAAAUACCUGUGUGUCAAAGUUCAAAUUAUUGCGAGUUUUGGAUUUAAGGAAUUCGACAUGCAAGACUUUGCCACGUUCCAUUGGUAAGUUGAAACACUUGAGAUAUUUCAGCAUUGCGAAUAAUUGCAACAUCAAGAUGUUGAUGUAUGAUGUAAUUCAAUUUGUUAGUUAGGAGUUAGUUAGUUUGACAGCUAUGAAGGUAGUUAUAGUUAUAUGUGCAGUGUGUAUAAAAGUGAUCAUGAAUGAGAUGAAUGACAGUGCAGAAGUUUUAAUUCAGAAUUCUAAGUUCCCUCUAUUUUCUCAAUCAAUUCUUUCAUCUUCACUUAUUCUCUAACAUAGAGUGAGUGAGUGCAUAGUGUGAGUGUGUGUGAAGAGCUUCUUUGUUCCAACAAACUGGUAUUCAGAGCAGAGGUUCAAGAUCCUUGGAUACUGAAAUUGAGAUGGCUUCCUUGAAUGGAAAUUUUCCAGCAUCUAUGCCUGUUCUCAAAGGCAAGAACUAUGAUGAUUGAUGUGCUCAGAUGAAGGUAAUCUUUCGAUUUCAAGAUGUGACAGAAGUGGUGCUAGAAGGGGUUCAAGAACUUGACAGGAACCCAACUGAUGCAUAGAAGGUGGCUCACUGUGAUUUGAUGAAAAGAGAUGCAAAGGCAUUGUUCAUUAUUCAUCAGUGUGUAGAUGCAGAUAAUUUUCAGAAAAUUAGAUCUGCUAAUACUGCAAAGAAGGCAUGGGAUAUUCUAAAGAAAUCCUAUGCAGGGGAUAGCAAACUCAAGAAGGUGAAGUUGCAGACCUUGAGAAGGUAGUAUGAACUUUUACAAAUGAGUGAUCAAGAAAGCAUUGGUGAGUUCUUUUCUCGAGUCUUGACAAUUACAAAUCAAAUGAAUGCUUAUGGUGACAAGCAAUCAGACUUGGGGAUCAUUGACAAGGUAUUAAGAACCUUGACACCAAGAUUCGAUCAUAUAGUGGUGGCAAUUGAGCAAGGCCAAAAUCUUGAAGAAAUGAAGAUUGAAGAACUGCAAGGAAUUCUUGAAGCUCAAGAGAUGAGGCUCAAUGAAAGAAAUUCACAAAGAUCAGCUGAGCAAGCUAUGCAAGCCCAAACAACCAAAGGGAACAACUAUGAUGGUGGUAAGAAUAGAAAGGGAAAGUGGAAAAACAGUAAGUGGAAGGGGUCAGGUGAGGGCUCCAGCAGUUCUAGAAACCAUAACCAAAAUGAAGAAACUGACAAGAAAAAUGGAGUGAAUCACAAAGUGGUCAAGAAAAAAUUCAACAAGAAAGGGAUUCAAUGUUAUAACCGUCAGAAAUAGGGACAUUUUGCAGAUGAAUGCAAAAAUAAAAGGGUUCCAAGAAAUGUAGAUGAGGCUCAAUUGGCACAAGAUGAGGAUUCUGACUCUGAUAAAGUGUUACUAAGGACAACAACAAACUCAGAAGAAGACAAUGUUAAUCUGUGGUAUCUUGACACAGGUUGUUCCAAUCACAUGACUGGACAUAGAGAGUGGUUUGUAAAUAUUGAUGAUAAGGUGAAGAGCAAGAUCAAGUUUGCAGAGAUAACAGCUCUGUAACUGUAGAAGGCAUUGGAAAGGUGAUGAUUCAGAGGAAGGAUGGACAACACUCAUUUAUCAAUGAUGUGCUAUAUGUUCCCAAUAUGAAGAACAAUUUGCUGAGUUUGGGACAGUUGCUAGAAAAGGGCUACUCAAUGCAGAUGGAGGACAGUCAAAUGAAGAUAUUUGACAGCAAGAGGAGGCUGAUUCUAUAGGCCUCUUUGUCAAGAAACAGAACAUUCAAGAUUGGAAUUCAGAUUGCAAAAUUUCAAUGCUUGGCUGCUUCUAUAAGUGAUGAAAGCUGGAUGUGGCAUCACAGGUUUGGUCAUCUAAAUUUCAGGAGUUUAAGUGAAUUGAAAAGUAAGAAAAUGGUUCAUGGUCUUCCCCAAAUUGAGAUACCAAAACAAUUAUGUGUUGAGUGUUGUGUGUCAAAGCAACCAAGGAAUUCUUUCAAGUCAGAAAUUCCAAUCAGAUCCAAAAGAAAGCUUGAAGUGAUCUAUUCUGAUGUGUGGGGUCCUUUUGAAGUGAAAUCCCUAGGAGGUAAUAGUUACUUUGUGUCAUUCAUUGAUGAAUUUACUAGAAAAAUGUGGAUCUAUUUCAUUAAGCAGAAAAGUGAAGUGUUUAACAUUUUUAAGAAGUUUAAGCUAUUGAGUGAAAAGCAAAGUUAUAAGGUAAUCAAAGUGUUUAGAACAGAUGGAGGUGGUGAGUAUAACUCACAUGAAUUUCAAGUAUUUUGUGAUGAAGAGGGGAUAAUUCAUGAAGUGACAUCUCCCUAUACACUUCAACAUAAUGGUGUUGUUGAGAGAAGAAACAGAACCAUUUUGAACAUGGCCAGGAGCAUGAUGAAAGGGAAGGGAAUGCCUCAUUAUUUAUGGGGAGAGACAACUUCUACUGCUGUGUAUAUUCUAAACAGGUGUCCCACCAAGAGAUUGCAGGGAUACACACCUGAAGAAGCAUGGUCAGAAAAGAAGCCUAGUGUGAGUCAUUUCAGAAUAUUUGGUUCACUGUGCUUUAGGCAUGUGCCUGAGCAGAACAGAAAGAAACUUGAUGACAAGGCUGAACCAAUGAUACUCAUUGGAUAUCAUCCAACUGGUGCCUACAAGUUGUAUGAUCCUAGAAUGAGGAAGGUUGUGAUUAGAAGAGAUGUCUUGAUAGAUGAAACAAAGGGCUGGAAUUGGGAAAUAAAUGUUGUUGACAAUGGUGAAAGAAAGGUGAUUGUGAACCUUGAAGACAAACAAAGUGAAAAGGAUGUCCCAUCAUGUGGAGAGUAACUCAAAAGGUCACAAAGAGAGAGACAAGUACCACAAACACUUAGAGAUUAUGAAUUGUAUCCUAAUACAACAAUCACUACAGAAGGGGAUUUUGUGCACUUUGCUCUACUUGCUGAAUCAGAACCAAUGAGUCAUGAUGAAGCUUCACAAAGUUCACAUUGGAGAGCAGCUAUGGAAGAAGAAUUGAGAUCAAUUGAGAAGAAUCAGACUUGGGAGUUAGUCCAUUUGCCUCAAGGAAAAAGACCAAUUGAUGUGAAGUGGGUCUAUAAGACUAAAGUAAAGCCUAAUGGAGAUGUGUCCAAGUAUAAGGCAAGAUUAGUAGCAAGGGGAUUUCAGCAAAAACAUGGCUUGGAUUACAAUGAGGUUUUUGCUUCAGUUGCAAGACUUGAAACUGUUAGACUCAUUGUGGCAGCUGCUUGCAACAGAAAUUGGUCUCUAUAUCAACUGGAUGUGAAGUCAGCAUUUUUGAAUGGGCCACUUGAAGAAGAAGUCUACAUAACUCAACCACCUGGUUAUGUAGUUGCAGGACAAGAGGAUAAAGUCUACAAGUUGAAUAAGGCACUAUAUGGCCUCAAGCAGGCUCCUAGAGCCUGAAAUAUGAAAAUUGAUAGCUUUCUAGUCCAGCAGAAUUUCACCAAGUGCACUACUGAGCAUGAAGUUUAUGUCCAGAAACACAGAUUCUGGUGAGUUUUUGAUAAUAUGUCUCUAUGUAGAUGAUUUGCUAGUGACUGACAAUAGUAAAGAAGAUAUAAGAGUGUUCAAAGGAAGAAUAAUGGAUGAAUUUGAGAUGUCUGAUCUUGGUGAACUAUCAUACUUCCUGGGUAUUGAAUUUGUUUCUACCAGUAAAGGGAUUUUCAUGCAUCAAAAGAAGUAUGCAGAAAACAUUCUGAAGAGGUUCAAUAUGAUGGAUUGCAAUUCUGUUAUCACACCAACUGAAACUGGAAUUAAGUUGCAAAUAGAUGGGGAUGAGAAAGAAAUUGAUCCUACCUUGUACAAGCAAAUUGUAGGCUCAUUGAGGUACCUAUGUAACACCAGACCUGAUAUUGCCUAUUGUGUUGGGUUGAUAAGUAGGUUUAUGGAGAAACCAAAGAUACCCCACUUCUUGGCAGCAAAGAGGAUUCUGAGGUAUGUGAAAGGAACAUUGGAUCUUGGCAUUUUAUAUCCUUACAGUUAGAAGAAUAUAGAAGGAGAAGUGUUUGGUUAUAGUGAUUUAGAUUGGUGAGGUGAUAAGAAUGAUAGGAAAAACACUACUGGUUAUGUUUUCAAAUUUGGAACAUCACCAAUCUCUUGGUACGUGCUCAAAGAAGUAGAGUGUAGUUGCUUUGUCAACAUGUGAAGCAGAACAUAUUGUUGCUGCUAUGACAGCCUGUCAAGCUCUAUGGCUGGAAGCUUUAAUGGAAGAACUAAACUUGAGAAAUUACAGUCCUAUGAGGUUGUUGAUGGAUAACAAAUCAGCAAUUGAUUUAGCUAAGCAUCCUGUGGCACAUGGCUGGAGUAAACAUAUUGAAACCAAGUUUCAUUUCCUGUGUGAUCAAGUGAGUAAGGAGAAGCUUGAAUUGGAGUUUUGCAGGUCUAAAGAUCAAGUUGCAGACAUACUAACUAAGCCAUUGAAGUCUAUCAAGUUCAAGGAAUUGAGAGACAAUUUAGGAGUGACAUCCUUGACAAAUCUGAAUUAAGGAGGGAUGUUGAUGUAUGCUGUAAUUCGGUUAGUUAGUUAUGAGUUAGUUAGUUUGACAGCUAUGAAGGUAGUUAUAGUUAUAUGUGCAGUGUGUAUAAAAGUGAUCAUGAAUGAGAUGAAUGACAGUGCAGAAGUUUUAAUUCAGAAUUCUAAGUUCUCUCUAUUUUCUCAAUCAAUUCUUUCAUCUUCUCUUAUUCUCUAACAUAGAGUGAGUGAGUGCAUAGUGUGAGUGUGUGUGAAAAGCUUCUUUGUUCCAACACAAGAGACUCCCCAAUUCUAUAUGCAAGCUCCAAAAUUUGAAAUUGUUGAAUAUUUCGGGAUGCGAGGAGUGGAAGCAUUGCCGAAAGGAUUAAGAAAUUUGAUUAGUCUGCGGCAUUUGGAGAUAACUACAAAGCAAUGCAAGCUGUUUUGCCUUACAGUGAGAUUACCAAUUUGAUCUCGCUUGCACUUCUGUCUAUUCAAUCAUGCCAUAAUAUGGAGUCUAUCUUUGGAGGGGUGAGAUUCUCUGCUCUUAAAACAUUGCGUGUUGCUGACUGUCAUAGUCUGAAGUGUUUGCCACUGGAUGUUACAAACUUUCCAGAAUUAGAAUUUCAGGUUGUUGAAAACUGUGUUAAUCUGGACUUGGAACUAUGGAAGGACCACCACGAAGAACAAAACCCCAAGUUGAAGUUAAAAUGUGUUGGAUUCUGGGGUUUACCACAGCUUGUGGCCUUACCUCGAUGGCUUCAAGAAACUACCAACUCCUUACAGACCUUGAUUAUUAAAAACUGCGACAAUCUUGAAAUGCUUCCGGAGUGGCUGUCAACUCUGACUAAUCUGAAAUCACUUCUUAUAUCAGAUUGUCCAAAGCUUAUAUCUCUCUUGGAUAACAUCCAUCACCUUACCGCACUUGAAUCUAUGUAUAUCGAUUUAUUGUGUUGGACGUGAUUCACGUAUUGAAAAUUGAUUUUGGGUGAAGUUACCCUGGAGCUGCUGCGUCAUGGGAUAAUCAAUUCUCAAAUUUCAGUGUUAGAUUUUUCGUUUUUGUCCUUCACUUUGUUCCGUUGUCCAUCAAGUUAAUGCAUCACGUAUAUUUACUGUGAUCUCCACUGCCUGUUGUUUUUGUACUGUUAUUUUGCUGCAGAACGGCUAUAUUUGGUGUUGUUGUAGCAUUUUAUAAGGUUAUUUUAUUAACAUUUUUUUGGGUGCUGUUGGUUCAUAAUAUCAGUGUUAUUAUAUUGCUUGGUUAGCACUUAAGUGUUAUUUCUUGGUUCAUAAUGUUGGUUCUUUGCCCGUUCAGCAAAAACAGUGGUUAAUAAAAUAAAAACAAAACAAUUUGGUAACUAACUAGCUAACCCUGUAAUCACCGAGGCAAUUGGGAUAUUACACACUGCCAUUUUGGUAAAUUAUAAUGCAAAAGACGCUCACAAACAAUUAAUAUCCGUUUUGGUAAUUUUACCUUGAAAAUUAAUUUUGAUAGUUACUUUUCAAAUAUCAAUAAAUUGUGAAAAAAAAUAGUAUUUUUCCCUCCUCUCCUUUCUCCCGAGCCCUUCUCUUCCAUUUCCUACCACCAUUAUCAUUCAUACUGUUUAUUUCCUUUAAUUCUAAGGCUUUGUGUUAUCUUCAUUUUCCUUUCUAUCACAAGGCCUAUUAUAUUUUUGAUAGUUUUUUCAUUCCCUUUUUUCCUCAUCAACAGAGUCUCUUACAUCAGUAAUCACACUUAGACAAGAGUUUCACGUAUUACCUUCACCUUCAUCAGUGGUAGGGCCUGUUUUGUCUGCUUUUCUUUCCUAGUAAUUGAGCCCUUGUCCAACUGACAUCUUUCCAGCACCUACAACAACACUUCUAAAACACUGGCAGAGUUACUUUUCCUUUUUCCGAUAUUCUCAGGUCUGCCCCUUUCCCUUUAACCAAAUUUGAGUGCUCCUUGUAUUUUCCAAUAACCUCCUUCCAAAGCUCCCAAUCUUUACCUCAUUCCAGUUACCUUGUUUGCUCUCAUGGGAGAUGCUUUCAUCCAUGACCCCUAGGGUAAAUCAUCUUGAUCAAUUUCAUUCGUAUCUUCUUCCUUACAGUCACUCCUUCAUCAAAUGAUCCAAGCAUUUGCACAAGAAACAAAGAUUUUCCCAUAACACUUACUCUUAUUCUGAAAGAUUUUCACAUCACACUUUCAUUGCACUUAUCCCAUUUGAUAAAAUUCCCCAUUGAUUUGCCAAUUCGCUCUGCCAUCUCCUUUGUUUUGAAACCCACCAGAAGAUCAUAAACCCUAAUCUAAAAUGGACAAUGAUUAAGAUUGACCUACGCAGGAUUUUCUUCUAUAUUCAUUGAAUUGAGAACCACCAAUCUUCUAUCAAAGCACCAUGACCCUCCUUCUUCAACCUGUGCUCGAUGCUUUUCAUUUAGGAACCUGAAGGUGUAAAGGUUCCUUCCUACUUCAUUGAUUUCUACACCCCCACGCACCUUCCAAAUUUGCACUAUUGUUGCCAUGAAGCCUUGUUGUUGAAAGAUCCCUGAGUUAGAAUCUUCCCUGCCAGUCAUGCCUAACUUCUUUCACUUGCUACCUCCUCACCACUCUCCAUCAAAGCUUCAACCUAAACCUUCUCCUCUAUCAUAAACUUCACUUUGCGCCAUUGUUCCACAUUGUACCCUGUCUCUCACAGUUGAGACUGCUAACUAACCCUAACUCAAUGCUGGUAGAUUCCUGAAUCAAAACCAAGAAAAAAAAUCUUGAAAGAAAACCCUUAUGAUACUGAUACUUGCAGGAAACUAGCUUAGCAAGAUUAAGGGACUCAUUCAUCAUGCACGACGAAGGGACUUGUUGAUAUACUUGAAUUUUACAUAUAGAGAAAAUUUAUGUUGUCUUGCCCAUGAAUUUGACUCCAUUUGCAUAUAUUAUAUGCACGAUACUAAUUCUUGACUUAUUAUUAUGCUUGGAUAUUAGAUAACAAGAAGACGCAGCCUAGAAUUCGAAAGCUUUUGGUGUCUCCCACUGAGCGAGACUUUUUUUCACCUUUUGAUAUAAUAUUAUUUAUAAAUUCAAUCAAUCACUUAGAUAUGCGAUAAUCAACUAGCAUGAUUAUUAAUUUUUAAAUAAUUAAUUAUAUUAUACAUGUUAUUAGAAAUAACAUCAACAACAGCAUGCACAUGAUACCUCUAUAUAUUCCUCCUUCGUUUUGGAAGCACCAUCUUCCAUAUGCAUACACUCCCCCCUCCCCCCACUUGUUCCCUCUCUCCACAGACCUUAUAUAUACCUCUGAAAAAUGUUCAACACAUUAAUUACCACUCUCUUCCUAACAGGGAGACAAAGAAAUGGACCAGAUGUGUUGGUUUCUCCCAAAUCAUGAAAGUCAAUGAUGGAAAAAGACAAUUGUUGAGAAAAUAGGUGAUUCAUUGAGGUACCAUCAUUCAAACAUAAACCACUAUUUAUGAUUUAUUUUUAUUUUUUAUUUUUAUUAUAUUUAACUCAAAAAUCAUACAAAUAAUAAUUUAUAAUUAAAUAAUAAUAUAAAAUUAUUUUAUACUAUCAAUGCAUGAGUACGUAUUAAAGUCAUAGUUGUUCACCAAACACAUGAAAUAUUUUAUUUCAAAAUUCUAAUAACACCUGUAAUAUUAAUGGUUUAAAUAUGGAUAAUUUGCAAGUAAUCCUGCAGGUUAACCAUAGAAUAUCAGAUCCAUUAAAUUUAUAAAUAAUAUAUCAUAUGGUGGACAAACCUCUCGCACGGUGGGAAAUGCACAAAUCUUUAAUUUCCCACACUAGAUCCAUGUUUGGGUCAUUUUUCAUCAACCCAUCAAUAGUUCCCAAUAUAUUCUCGCCACUCCUACAAAUAACCGAACCCAACCUAAACAUAACACACUUCUAUGAAGCAAGAAACAAGACACAAUUUUGUUAAUCCCGAUCCCGAGUGCCACAAAACACAACCACCAUCAACUCAAAACAUCUUUCAAACAUGCAGCUGGAUUUGAAUUCUACUGCACAAAAGAGAAUUCACAUGUCGGAAAAUCCUUUAGCCAAGAUCCCACUGAAAACAAAUUAUUGUCCAUGACAACUCCAGAAUGCCUAAAUAAAAAGUAACAACUAUAUAUACAAGAUACACUUUGAGUUGGAAUUUCAAAUUAGAUUGUAUUGAGUUGGAAUUUAUAGAUUUAUCGUCUGAUCAAAUUGGUUUAAAAUUUAAAUCUGAUCCAAUAGGAUACAGUUUGAUAAUUAAGAUUAGUUUUAGUCUUAUUUUUAUUUCUUUAGAGAAAUUAAUUAGGGUAAUAUGUAUACUAAACACUAGAAAAAAUAGACCAAUAAUACUAUUUGUUCUCUAUAAUAUAUUAUUAUUUUUUGUUUUAAUCCUUGUAAAACAUUUUUUUAAAAGAUCCAUGUAAAAUUAUCCUUAUAAUACAGUACCGUCUUUGUUACUUAAUUUAUUUUAGUUAUUUUAAUAUUCCUUUUUCGUAUUAAUCCUUACAAUAAUACGAUUAAAUAUAUUGUUUGCCCUUAUAAUAUACUGUCUAUUCUUGUCUGAGCCUUAAAUUUUUCAUUUUGAAAAUGAUUCUUGUAAAAUUCCUAUUUUUGGAUUUGACUAUUUGUUAUUCCGUUUUAGUUAUUGUAAUAUAUUAAUUUUUCUUUUUUCAAACUUAAGAGAAAAUAAAAUUGAAGCUCACAAUGAAAUUUAAAAAAGCAUCUAAAGUGUAAAUUAAAAUAAUCUCUGUGAACAUCCAGAUAGAAAUUUAAUUUAAAAAAUAAUAAAUUAAAUUAAGAAAGGAGAAUUAUGAAACAAUCUGUGAAUAAUAUAGAGAUUUAUAAAGGAAAUUAUUCUCCUCGGGGCAACCUUAACCAUUGGCCACAGAAACUAGAGUUGACCAGUGACUACUUGUAUUUUUACUUCCGAUCGAUCUCUGGUGUUGGAAUUCGGGAUAACACAAACCAUGGCUGAAUCAUUUCUCUUCAGCAUCGCUGAGUCUCUCAUAACAAAGCUUGCUUCUCAUGCUUUCCAAGAAGCUUCUCGGGUGGUGGGUUUGUACGACCAUCUCCGAGACCUUAAAAAGACUCUCUCAUUAGUCAAGGCAGUGCUGUUAGAUGCCGAUCAAAAGCAGGAGCAUAACCAUGAGCUGCAGGAAUGGCUGAGGCAGCUCAAAAGUGUCUUCUAUGAUGCCGAAGAUGUGUUGAAUGAAU